GCUGAGUCUAUGACAUAGCGA
rnacentral:siRNA from 1 species